AUUGAACGCUGGCGGCAUGCCUUACACAUGCAAGUCGAACGGCAGCACGGGGCAACCUGGUGGCGAGUGGCGAACGGGUGAGUAAUGCAUCGGAACGUACCUUUCAGUGGGGGAUAACGUAGCGAAAGUUACGCUAAUACCGCAUAUUCUGUGAGCAGGAAAGCAGGGGAUCGCAAGACCUUGCGCUGAUUGAGCGGCCGAUGUCAGAUUAGCUAGUUGGUGAGGUAAGGGCUCACCAAGGCGACGAUCUGUAGCGGGUCUGAGAGGAUGAUCCGCCACACUGGAACUGAGACACGGUCCAGACUCCUACGGGAGGCAGCAGUGGGGAAUUUUGGACAAUGGGCGCAAGCCUGAUCCAGCCAUGCCGCGUGAGUGAAGAAGGCCUUCGGGUUGUAAAGCUCUUUCGGCCGAGAAGAAAUCGCAUGGGUUAAUACCCUGUGCGGAUGACGGUACCGGCAUAAGAAGCACCGGCUAACUACGUGCCAGCCGCCGCAGUAAAAC
rnacentral:rRNA from 1 species